UCCCUUCUUUUUAUCUCUUGUGUUUUAUCCCCUGUUUUUAUCCGUCGUUUUUUAUCCCUUGAAAUCCUAAGGUUUUAUCCCGUAACCUUAUACCAUAUUAUCCCUAGUUUUUUUUUUAUCCCAAAUUUCUAUCCCAUAAUUAUCCCAAAUUUUUUAUUCCCGAACUUCUAUCCCAAAACUAUCCCUUACUUUGUAUUCCAAAUUUCUAUCCCAAAAUUAUCCCACAUUUUUUAUUCCAUAUUUCAUUAGACAUAAUUUUUUUAUCCUGAUUUUAUCCCCGAUUUAACCCUUAAA
rnacentral:lncRNA from 1 species